rnacentral:lncRNA from 1 species
UAGAUGAGCUUGGAACCAUGAUAGAGAAGCAUGGAAGAUCAGACCAAGGUUUAUUAGGAAGUGGGAGAUGGCACCUACGGCUAAACCUUAUAAAUUUGCAACUUGUCUUGAUUGAUGCUAAGGUAAUUUUCUCCUUUUAUUUGUUUUUCACUGAAUACGUAAUUAAUUCUGGUCCUUUUUUGAAUGUAUUUCGUACUAGAUGGUGAAAUUGAUAUCCUGUUGUUAAAUGAGAUUUCACAUGUAUAUGUGAUGAAUACUGUCAGCUCAUUGAGAUCUUUUUGUGUCAGUACACUUUUAAAUCUUGGCUAUAAAUACUCCAUGUUCUGAACUCUCAUUCACACCAUUCCCAUAUCCCAAUCCUUCUACUUGAAACCCCCCCUCUAUUUCAUCUCAUUUCACUGAUCUGUUUGAAUUCUUUUAUUGUAGAUGAGCUUGGAACCAUGAUAGAGAAGCAUGGAAGAUCAGACCAAGGUUUAUUAGGAAGUGGGAGAUGGCACCUACGGCUAAACCUUAUAAAUUUGCAACUUGUCUUGAUUGAUGCUAAGGUAAUUUUCUCCUUUUAUUUGUUUUUCACUGGUUGAAUGUCUUAAAUGGAAUGUUGGAAUUUUACAGUGUUGAUGAGCUUGAAACCAUGGCUACUGC